UACGGGGGGGGCAAGCGUUGUUCGGAAUUACUGGGCGUAAAGGGCUCGUAGGCGGCCAACUAAGUCCGACGUGAAAUCCCAAGGCUUAACCUUGGAACUGCGUCGGAUACUGGAUGGCUUGAAUUCGGGAGAGGGAUGCAGAAUUCCAGGUGUAGCGGUGAAAUGCGUAGAUAUCUGGAGGAAUACCGGUGGCGAAGGCGGCAUCCUGGACCAACACUGACGCUGAGGAGCGAAAGCCAGGGGAGCAAACGGG
rnacentral:rRNA from 1 species